AGAGAGAGAAAUGCUUGUGUUGUUGGGCAGAACACUAAUUCCUGUAAGCUCAAUUUAAUCUUCCAAUUAAACAAUUAAAAAAAAAUGUCUUUAAAGCUCUGGUUGUUGUGUAAAGCUAUUUAAGGAAAAAUAAAUUAAAAUAAAAUUCAUCCAUUCUAUUUCUAAAAAUAAUUGUCUAAAUUAAGAAUAUAUUGUUCUGGGCGUAGUUUUUCUUUUCAAAAAAUUGUAAGAAAAAAUAAUCCACGGGUAAUUGUAAGAAAUUAUUGAAAUGAAAUAAGUAGUCAUCAUCUAAAAAAAUGAGGUGCUUAAAUUGCGAAUGUAUAACACAUAAAUAAUAAUAAUAAUAAUAAUAACUAUACCUUAUUAUUAACUUUAAGAAUAAUACUUUGAAUUCAAGUUCAAAAGAGAAAAUAAUUUGAAGAGUAGUUUGAAGAGAUAAUAAUUAGAUCCUGUAUGAGAUUGACAAGAAAUAUCUUUGAUUAAUAAAGUUAACUGAAACUACUUUAAAAUAUCAGACUACUUUUAGUUCACAAAUAUUGUUUUCAUUCCCAAUAGCACAUUUUUUUAUUUUUUAUUCACAUAACUAAAAUGAACAAUUCUUUUUGUAUAACUGUAUAUGUAUAGUCUUAAUGAUCAAAAGAUUACGUUUACUAUAACUUCGGUAUGAAUAAAAAA
rnacentral:lncRNA from 1 species